GAAGAGAGAGUUCAAGAGUACGUGAAACUGUUCAGAGGUAAACGGGUGGGCCCUCGAAAUCCUGUGGCGGGAUCAUUCAGUUGCGAGAGCCCGCGACGCGUCGCCUGGAGUGUUUAGGUUCCCGUGACGGGGCCGUUCUGGCGAUGUCGUAGUAGGCGAUCCGACGCAUUUGUUUCCUGCCCGAAGGACGCCGCAACCGGUUGGAGGACGACCUUAGGGGCGAGAACUGGCAGGUGACUGGUAGCCGUAGCUUUCCUCUCGUGGCCGGUUGUUAGCCUUUUCGCCACACGGGACGUCCGCCGACCGUGGCAAUAGAGAGGCCUUGUUGGGCUUCGUCGUCUCCUCCCAUGGUAGCGGGUGAAGAAACGCGACAGGGGCUCGUCGCGGCGUGGGCGCACAGACUGACUCUGUGGCCAGGCGCUGCCUUGUCCCCGUUGGUUGCGUAAGCCCCGCGGGAGUGCGUGACGGUUAGCGGCGAGUAGAUCGGUCACCCACCCGACCCGUCUUGAAACACGGACCAAGGAGUAUAACAUGUGUGCGAGUCAAUGGGACUCGAAUAAGCCCAGAGGCGCAAUGAAAGCGAAGGCAGGAGGACUCCUGCCGUGUCGAGACUCCGCACCUUUGCGUGCGGAGCGCAUCGACGACCCGCUCAUGUCCGCUCGCGGACGGGGCGGAGUCCGAGCACACACGUUGUGACCCGAAAGAUGGUGAUCUAUGCCCGGACAGGACGAGGCCAGAGGAAACUCUGGUGGAGGU
rnacentral:rRNA from 1 species